UACGUAGGUGACAAGCGUUGUCCGGAUUUACUGGGCGUAAAGAGCGCGCAGGCGGUCGAUCAAGUCGAGUGUGAAAAGCCCCCGGCUCAACUGGGGAGGGUCAUUCGAUACUGAUCGACUCGAAGGCAGGAGAGGGUAGUGGAAUUCCCGGUGUAGUGGUGAAAUGCGUAGAUAUCGGGAGAACACCAGUGGCGAAGGCGGCUCACUGGCCCGAUACUGACGCUGAGGCACGAAAGCGUGGGGAGCAAAGCAGG
rnacentral:rRNA from 1 species